rnacentral:rRNA from 1 species
GCGGCGUGCUUAACACAUGCAAGUCGAACGGAAAGGCCCUGCUUUUGUGGGGUGCUCGAGUGCCGAACGGGUGAGUAACACGUGAGUAACCUGCCCUUGACUUUGGGAUAACUUCAGGAAACUGGGGCUAAUACCGGAUAGGAGCUCCUGCUGCAUGGUGGGGGUUGGAAAGUUUCGGCGGUUGGGGAUGGACUCGCGGCUUAUCAGCUUGUUGGUGGGGUAGUGGCUUACCAAGGCUUUGACGGGUAGCCGGCCUGAGAGGGUGACCGGCCACAUUGGGACUGAGAUACGGCCCAGACUCCUACGGGAGGCAGCAGUGGGGAAUAUUGCACAAUGGGCGGAAGCCUGAUGCAGCAACGCCGCGUGCGGGAUGACGGCCUUCGGGUUGUAAACCGCUUUCGCCUGUGACGAAGCGUGAGUGACGGUAAUGGGUAAAGAAGCACCGGCUAACUACGUGCCAGCAGCCGCGGUGAUACGUAGGGUGCGAGCGUUGUCCGGAUUUAUUGGGCGUAAAGGGCUCGUAGGUGGUUGAUCGCGUCGGAAGUGUAAUCUUGGGGCUUAACCCUGAGCGUGCUUUCGAUACGGGUUGACUUGAGGAAGGUAGGGGAGAAUGGAAUUCCUGGUGGAGCGGUGGAAUGCGCAGAUAUCAGGAGGAACACCAGUGGCGAAGGCGGUUCUCUGGGCCUUUCCUGACGCUGAGGAGCGAAAGCGUGGGGAGCGAACAGGCUUAGAUACCCUGGUAGUCCACGCUGUAAACGGUGGGUACUAGGUGUGGGGUCCAUUCCACGGGUUCCGUGCCGUAGCUAACGCUUUAAGUACCCCGCCUGGGGAGUACGGCCGCAAGGCUAAAACUCAAAGGAAUUGACGGGGCCCCGCACAAGCGGCGGAGCAUGCGGAUUAAUUCGAUGCAACGCGUAGAACCUUACCUGGGUUUGACAUGGAUCGGGAGUGCUCAGAGAUGGGUGUGCCUCUUUUGGGGUCGGUUCACAGGUGGUGCAUGGCUGUCGUCAGCUCGUGUCGUGAGAUGUUGGGUUAAGUCCCGCAACGAGCGCAACCCUUGUUCACUGUUGCCAGCACGUUAUGGUGGGGACUCAGUGGAGACCGCCGGGGUCAACUCGGAGGAAGGUGGGGAUGACGUCAAGUCAUCAUGCCCCUUAUGUCCAGGGCUUCACGCAUGCUACAAUGGCUGGUACAGAGAGUGGCGAGCCUGUGAGGGUGAGCGAAUCUCGGAAAGCCGGUCUCAGUUCGGAUUGGGGUCUGCAACUCGACCUCAUGAAGUCGGAGUCGCUAGUAAUCGCAGAUCGGCAACGCUGCGGUGAAUACGUUCCCGGGGCUUGUACACACCGCCCGUCAAGUCAUGAAAGUUGGUAACACCCGAAGCCGGUGGCCUAACCGUUGUGGGGGAGCCGUCGAAGGUGGGACUGGUGAUU